rnacentral:ncRNA from 10 species
GGAGGAAUACCCAAGUCUGGCUGAAGGGAUCGGUCUUGAAAACCGACAGGGUGUCAAAGCCCGCGGGGGUUCGAAUCCCUCUUCCUCCG